AUGUCAAAUCAUCAUGCCCCUUAUGUCUUGGGCUACAAACGUGCUACAAUGGCGCAGACAAAGUGAAGCAAGGGCGCGAGCCGGAGCCAAACACGAAAAGGCGCCUCAGUUCGGAUUGCAGGCUGCAACCCGCCUGCAUGAAGUUGGAAUCGCUAGUAAUCGCGAAUCAGCAUGUCGCGGUGAAUACGUUCCCGGGCCUU
rnacentral:rRNA from 1 species